GACGAACGCUGGCGGCGUGCUUAACACAUGCAAGUCGAACGGAAAGGCCCUGCUUUUGUGGGGUGCUCGAGUGGCGAACGGGUGAGUAACACGUGAGUAACCUGCCCUUGACUUUGGGAUAACUUCAGGAAACUGGGGCUAAUACCGGAUAGGAGCUCCUGCUGCAUGGUGGGGGUUGGAAAGUUUCGGCGGUUGGGGAUGGACUCGCGGCUUAUCAGCUGGUUGGUGGGGUAGUGGCUUACCAAGGCUUUGACGGGUAGCCGGCCUGAGAGGGUGACCGGCCACAUUGGGACUGAGAUACGGCCCAGACUCCUACGGGACGCAGCAGUGGGGAAUAUUGCACAAUGGGCGGACGCCUGAUGCAGCAACGCCGCGUGCGGGAUGACGGCCUUCGGGUUGUAAACCGCUUUCGCCUGUGACGAAGCGUGAGUGACGGUAAUGGGUAAAGAAGCACCGGCUAACUACGUG
rnacentral:rRNA from 1 species